AUGAUUAUUUUGGCCGCCUGUCUAAUGUUGGAAACGAGACUCUGUUUCCUGAAUGAGCUGCAUGAAGAUGAUGGCACUGGGCCUCGAAAUCACCACAAGCUGUCGUUGAUGGUCGCCAAGGAACAUCCUGAACUCAGCGACGAGUUAAUAAUGCAUCAGGCCAGACCUCUGCUUUUAGCUUUUGACACAUGUUACUCCUUAAAACUCAAAGGUUCAACCCUGCUCUGCCCUGCAGCUGUUCUUGUCUCUGUUUCCUCCUUUUUUUCAUUGAUACGUCUUGGUGAUGUUGGCAAGGACACAAUCUCUGUUUCCUGGAUGAAGAUGGCGCUGGUGGAUUCAUUCCCAUCCUGA
rnacentral:rRNA from 1 species